rnacentral:lncRNA from 1 species
GACUUACCUGCAGAGCUCAUCACGGCAGGUGAAGAACUAUGGAUCAGGUUGGCUGGGCAUCUUCUCCCUCCAGAGGCUGAGCUACGGAUGUGCAGGUUGGCCGGGCAUCUUCUCCCUCCAGAGGCUGAGCUACGGAUGACGCGGAGCUGCCUUCAUCUAAGUCUUCAUAGUACCUCUGAGAUAGGAAGGCUGACCGGGACAGGCUGGCUGCAGAAGGCCCACCCCAAAACAACAUUAGACAACUCAAAGCAAACCCAAAAGCUGUGCCAUUUCAGUGCUAAGAGAGACAGACCAUAAAGCACUUUCAUUAUUUUAUACCUUAGGUAGAAGCUGCUAUUGCUGAUUGUGAACAAUGAGAAUUUGUGGUCUUUGCUCAAAACUAAGCUUUGAAAACUAAGCUACUAGGACAAAGACAGCUUUGACCAUCAGACAAGACUGAAAAUGAGAGCGAUAGUCAGCACUGGUAGAAAAACAAGAGAUUAAGCUCUCACAGAAAACAGACGGUGUCAGAGGCCAGCUCCCAGGGCAGGCUAGUCAGCCACAGCAUCACCCCUGCUUUCCAACCUCAGAACACCAGAGUGAGACGGCCUGA